CUACGGGCGGCUGCAGUGAAGAAUAUUGCGCAAUGGGGGAAACCCUGACGCAGCGACGCCGCGUGGAUGAUGAAGGCCUUAGGGUCGUAAAAUCCUGUCAGGUGGGAAGAAGUGGAUAUAGAUUAAUACUCUAUUUCUUUGACGGUACCACCAAAGGAAGCACCGGCUAACUCCGUGCCAGCAGCCGCGGUAAUACGGAGGGUGCAAACGUUGUUCGGAAUUACUGGGCGUAAAGCGCGCGUAGGCGGUUUGUUAAGUCAGAUGUGAAAGUCCAUGGCUCAACUAUGGCAGUGCAUUUGAACUGGCAGACUUGAGUACUGGAGGGGGUGAUGGAAUUCCCGGUGUAGAGGUGAAAUUCGUAGAUAUCGGGAGGAAUACCGGUGGCGAAGGCGAUCACCUGGCCAGAUACUGACGCUGAGGUGCGAAAGCGUGGGGAGCAAACAGGAUUAGAUACCCUUGUAGUC
rnacentral:rRNA from 1 species